GGCAACCGGGGAGGGUCAUUGGAAACUGGGGAACUUGAGUGCAGAAGAGGAAAGUGGAAUUCCACGUGUAGCGGUGAAAUGCGUAGAGAUGUGGAGGAACACCAGUGGCGAAGGCGACUCUCUGGUCUGUAACUGACGCUGAGGCGCGAAAGCGUGGGGAGCGAACAGGAUUAGAUACCCUGGUAGUCCACGCCGUAAACGAUGAGUGCUAAGUGUUAGAGGGUUUCCGCCCUUUAGUGCUGCAGCAAACGCAUUAAGCACUCCGCCUGGGGAGUACGGUCGCAAGACUGAAACUCAAAGGAAUUGACGGGGGCCCGCACAAGCGGUGGAGCAUGUGGUUUAAUUCGAAGCAACGCGAAGAACCUUACCAGGUCUUGACAUCCUCUGACAACCCUAGAGAUAGGGCUUCCCCUUCGGGGGCAGAGUGACAGGUGGUGCAUGGUUGUCGUCAGCUCGUGUCGUGAGAUGUUGGGUUAAGUCCCGCAACGAGCGCAACCCUUGAUCUUAGUUGCCAGCAUUCAGUUGGGCACUCUAAGGUGACUGCCGGUGACAAACCGGAGGAAGGUGGGGAUGACGUCAAAUCAUCAUGCCCCUUAUGACCUGGGCUACACACGUGCUACAAUGGGCAGAACAAAG
rnacentral:rRNA from 1 species